AUCCUUUUGCAGUUCAUAAGUGUGAUGAUUGGGUUUUCAUGCUCAUGUGUAAGAUGUGCUUCCCUCAAACCUUGCUAUAAUGUCAGCACAGUAUCUAUCUGACA
rnacentral:snoRNA from 2 species